UGGGGAAUUUUGGACAAUGGGGGAAACCCUGAUCCAGCCAUCCCGCGUGUUCGAUGAAGGCCUUCGGGUUGUAAAGCACUUUUGGCAGGAAAGAAACGUCAUGGGUUAAUACCCCGUGAAACUGACGGUACCUGCAGAAUAAGCACCGGCUAACUACGUGCCAGCAGCCGCGGUAAUACGUAGGGUGCAAGCGUUAAUCGGAAUUACUGGGCGUAAAGCGUGCGCAGGCGGUUCGGAAAGAAAGAUGUGAAAUCCCAGAGCUCAACUUUGGAACUGCAUUUUUAACUACCGGGCUAGAGUGUGUCAGAGGGAGGUGGAAUUCCGCGUGUAGCAGUGAAAUGCGUAGAUAUGCGGAGGAACACCGAUGGCGAAGGCAGCCUCCUGGGAUAACACUGACGCUAAUGCACGAAAGCGUGGGGAGCAAACAGG
rnacentral:rRNA from 1 species